AUGGAGAGAGUCAGAAACAGAGAAAGGGAGAGGAGGGGAAAGGGAUGGUGGGGGGGAAGAGACAGAGACAGAGACAGACAGGGACAGGGACAGCAGAGACAGAGACAGAGAGGGAGGAGAAGGGGGAGAGAGAGGGGGACAGAGGAGGGAGAGAGAGAGAGAGAGAGAGAGAGAGAGAGAGAGAGAGAGAGAGAGGGAGGGAGGGAGGGAGGGAGGGAGGAAGGGAUGGAGAGAGAGGAGAGAAAGGGAGAGGGGGAGAGGGAGAGAGAGAGAGAAGGAGGGAGGGAGAGAGACAGAGAGAGAGAGAGAGAGGGAGAGAAGGAGGGAGGGAGAGAGACAGAGAGAGAGGAGAGAAAGGGAGAGGGAGAGAGAGAAGAGAGAGAGAGAGAGAAGAGAGGGAGAGAGAGGGGGGAGGCAGGAUCGAUGUUUCUAAGAAUCAUCAUCAUAGGGGGAGGUGAUGAGAUCAUUAAGUGA
rnacentral:lncRNA from 1 species